UUGGUGGAAAAUGAGGCGUAAAUAGGUUGUAAACAAAUGCAACAGUUUUUGCUAUUCGCAGCGCUCGAAAAUAUGCAACAGUUUUCGCCAGCAGCUUUCAACACCAACUGAAAAUGAAACUGAACAUGAACAUAAAUGCGGCCAAAGCACCGACAAUCUCAAGCGAUUCUCAGUCAUCGACAAACGAGAACUACAGUGGAGUCUCUAUAAAUUACUGGAAGAGGUGGUAUGCAGACGAUUCACAAUUCUUUAAUAUUUAUAAAACCACUCUUUUUAUAUUAUAAAUACUGUAUAAUUUUGUUAAACAAAAACGUAUAUGAGUUCGUCUUAGCGACACUCCACUGUUACAACUCAAACAACAACUAUAUCGCUGUCGUCAUCGCCAACUUUGAUGGCAGGAUGUGGCUUGUGUGCUCGGCUACCCGACACCGUUCACCACCCACCGCCCAACGCCCAACGCCCCCACGUUCCUUGGGUGGGCGUGUCCCGCAUAAAAAUGGGUCAGACAAGCGUCGACGUCGACAGCGGCAGCGACAGCGACGCCGGCAGAGGCGGUAGCAGUUGGAAAUGCAUUUUCCUCAAUCGAGCGAGUGGAUUUCCUUUUGUUGCUACGACCAUAACCAUAAUUGAAUGUUGUGAUUGUGAGCUCGCGUGGUUCGCGGGAUUUUGUGGGCGGAAAUGGGGUGGUGUUGGGUUAAGUCAUUGCUCGCGGGAAUUGGGUUAAUUGCUGCCAGCGAAAAGAAAUAGAAAAAAAUUUAAAAAAUUGAAAAAAAAAAAAAGAAAAAACAAAAAUGCAACGGACAGGGCAGCACCUUUUGCACCGCGGUCCUGACCUGGGCUACAUUUGUAAUUGUUGACGUCGCCACUCGCACUCGCACGAACCCCUUUUAACCCCUGAAACCCCAGCCCGCGAGUACGCCCCUUUAACCCACCACGCAGCGAUGACGACACUUGCUGAAGAGGAAAAGCCCCUCGUAAAACAGGGUGCUUGAAAAGUAGCAACAUUUAAAUGUUAAAUCGUUCUUGAGUGCAGUUCAAAGUCUUUGUGGGCUACACUGGCAGAAAUUGUUUUAAUAUAGAAAUAAUAAUAUCACUCAUAUUUAGAAUUAACUCAUAAUAUUCCAAGCUUAGUUUAUGGUUACAAAACCUAGUUUAUAAAUGUCAAUUCAAUAUUGUAGCUUUGGAGAGAACUUUUCGUUGUUUUCUGCGAUUUCUUUUGAAUAUAUCGAAGUACCACUGUACGACCGUAGAAGCUCUGCCUGAAACGCAUGGCCCUAUACGUGGUGUGCACUUUUUAAUAUUGCCCGUUGGUGUUUCUUUUUUUCUGGUUAAUAAUACUCUUUGCCGCUGCCGACUUUGCGCGGCCUGGCAGGCAGGCAUUAGCGCUAUUUUUGGGUCAACUGCAUUUAAUUUCGCUUCGUUUUCGUUAAAUGGUCGGUGGGCCGAAAGAACAAGCCACAAUUAUGAGGCAUUCGGAAUGCAAUUGGGGUUUACGAUCCACUUGUUCCUGGCUGCGCCCACGAAAAAUGGCACACGGAACCCAAAAUAGAGUUCGCUGUGCCAUGACCAUAGCAAGUUAAAUACAAAUACUCACAAAUAGUUCCCUAUUCUGUUUCACUUUAAUUGAUUGCUAUUUCCACUUAGCGGUUCGCCGGAACCGAACGACAGGUGGCGUGUUGGUGGUGGUCAUUAGGCAAGGAUAAUUACUCAAUUGCAACUUUGUUUUGGCAAACGGCUGCUUUAGUUAGGUAACAUUUUGAAACUCUUUUAGCUAAUUUUACAAUGUAAUAAAUUGUUAAGCUUUCUCUCCAAGCCUCAUUAUUAUUAUUAAUGCUCAGUUCCUUUCUCUUUAGUUUACAUUCCUUCAACUUCAUUUUCACAUUAGAACUUUUAGUUUUGGCGCUGCGCAAGCGCAAGCCUACAAACCAAAUGAACUGCCAGCUAACUAAUAUGAAAUCGCAUUUGGAAUUGGCUGUCAAUAUUCCUACGUGUGAAGACUAAACAAUAGGCAAUAAUUUCAAAAAUCCGAUGCGAAACCGCUUGAAUUAUGGCUAUUGGAUAGUUUCGUCGUUUGGGCCAAUACUUUUAAGGGAAGUGACCGACAAGCAAUAUUAAUAAUAAGUACACCCAUGUCCAAAUACAUGGCGACAUAUGUUUCAGGCAUGAUGUGAGUGUGCAUUACUUUAAUUACUCCAUUAUAUUCACAAGACAAAGGAAUGCAAAAAUCAUUGCCUGGCUUUCAUCUUUAGCCGACUUCUUAUCGAAGGAAUACACAAUCUGAAUAAAAAAGGAAGUAUUAAGUGCAGGGUAAAACUAUAACUUAAGAUAUGGGUCAGUCAGUACAGAGAUAGCUUUGCAAUUUAUUCAAAUAUAUAUAUUUCCCAUUAAGCAGACGCAUUGAAAACGCGUGUUUUUCCCUUUAACCACCUAUAAUUUGUAAUCUAAAAGCUGAGUCUCAGCAAAGCAUAGGUUAUUUCGAGUAAAUUUCCACACAAAAUGCUUGAUAAUUGUUUGUAUUUGAAGGGGGCAAGGGCAGAUGGCCAUAGAUCAUGGUUGAUUGGGCAUGCCCAAGCCCAAUCAAAUGGCGGCACCAAUCCGAUUUGCAUUUCGGAUGCCAAACGAAUCGAUUCGGUGGGCAAUUAAAUCAACAAUUUGACAAAACAAAUACAAUUAAAAUGCACGAAGACCGGCGCAAAUAAAUCAAAACUUGCCGAGGCCCAUAAUACGCUGCAUAAUUUAGCUUCGAGUGACGAACGCCUUUGGCGACACCCAAAAAAUACUCAAAAUUGCACUGCGCCUAAGUGUGUUAUGUCCAAAAGUUUUGAGUUUUUUGCACCCAGAGACCCCAAAGUGGCCCCAUUUCCAGCUUUACGAGGAGUCGGUUGGUUAUAAGCUAUUUUUACUCUGCUUUGUUCGCUGCUGCUCAAAAAACAUCUUUCGAAAUCGAAUGGGCAGGGAAAUUAUGAAAACGGUAUGCUUCAACGCAAAUUUCACAAAUCUAGAACAGCCAUAAACUUCGGAAGUAUUCAGAUGACAAGCCAAAUUAAAAGAUCUAAGAUAUUUUACAGUUGCAUGCAUUGCAACAUCUUUUAUUUAGUUAGGAAUACCCAAACCUUCCGGCAAAUAUAAUACACUUUCUAAGCAACUUUAUCACUGAGCACUUGCACGUAGCUCUCACACAAAGAUGGUUAAUUCAAUGGCCCAACGCCAAAACCCAGACGAGGGACUUGUCAUAGAUCAACUAGAACAAAGGUCUGUCAUUGUGAAGGAUUCCCGGAUUCGCGGAUUUACGGAUUUUGACACAUUCGGCGGCACUGGCGGCACUCGCGUUUUUCCAAUCCAAAUUGGUGACAGUGCAAAUUGAUCUCGCCCAAAGUUCAGGGCCGCUGGCCCACCAGAUAAGUAGCGCAAUCCAAAUGCGGGUGCACAUUGUGUACUAAAUGCUACAUAGUACAUACUAUAU